rnacentral:rRNA from 1 species
UUUUUGGAGAGUUUGAUCCUGGCUCAGGACGAACGCUGGCGGCGUGCCUAAUACAUGCAAGUCGAGCGGACUUGAUGGAGUGCUUGCACUCCUGAUGGUUAGCGGCGGACGGGUGAGUAACACGUAGGCAACCUGCCCUCAAGACUGGGAUAACUACCGGAAACGGUAGCUAAUACCGGAUAAUUUAUUACAUAGCAUUAUGUGAUAAUGAAAGACGGAGCAAUCUGUCACUUGGGGAUGGGCCUGCGGCGCAUUAGCUAGUUGGUGGGGUAACGGCUCACCAAGGCGACGAUGCGUAGCCGACCUGAGAGGGUGAACGGCCACACUGGGACUGAGACACGGCCCAGACUCCUACGGGAGGCAGCAGUAGGGAAUCUUCCGCAAUGGGCGAAAGCCUGACGGAGCAACGCCGCGUGAGUGAUGAAGGUUUUCGGAUCGUAAAGCUCUGUUGCCAAGGAAGAACGUCUCAUAGAGUAACUGCUAUGAGAGUGACGGUACUUGAGAAGAAAGCCCCGGCUAACUACGUGCCAGCAGCCGCGGUAAUACGUAGGGGGCAAGCGUUGUCCGGAAUUAUUGGGCGUAAAGCGCGCGCAGGCGGUUCUUUAAGUCUGGUGUUUAAACCUGGGGCUCAACUUCAGGUCGCACUGGAAACUGGGGGACUUGAGUGCAGAAGAGGAGAGUGGAAUUCCACGUGUAGCGGUGAAAUGCGUAGAUAUGUGGAGGAACACCAGUGGCGAAGGCGACUCUCUGGGCUGUAACUGACGCUGAGGCGCG